ACAUCUUUAGCUGAAAGGUAAAGCGUGUGCCUUCGAAGCAUAAGAAUAUUGGUUCGAUUCCAAUAAGAUGUC
rnacentral:tRNA from 1 species